rnacentral:sRNA from 1 species
CUUCGCGGGCCGACGUCCAAGGGUUACCACUGCGAGAAACACCAUUUCCCUUGGGCAUCAACUUGUCCGCAAU